rnacentral:tRNA from 1 species
AGGAUUGUAGUUCAAUUGGUCAGAGCACUGCCCUGUCAAGGCAGAAGCUGCAGGUUUAAGCCCCGUUAGUCUCA